UUUUAAUUGAAGAGUUUGAUCAUGGCUCAGAUUGAACGCUGGCGGCAGGCUUAACACAUGCAAGUCGAGCGGUAGCACAGGGGAGCUUGCUCCCUGGGUGACGAGCGGCGGAC
rnacentral:rRNA from 1 species